rnacentral:tRNA from 1 species
GGGAAUGUGGCUCAAUGGUAGAGUGCUUGCCUAGCAUGCAUGAAGCCUUGGGUUUGAUUCCUCAGUAUCA